rnacentral:lncRNA from 10 species
CUUCCGCCGCCCGCUUCUCUCGGCACACACACGGUUUCUCUCUGCUCUUCGCAAUCCCCGCUGUCUCCCCACACCGUGGAUCGAACCCUCACCGGCAUCUUGGCGGCGCCCGGGUUUCAACCCAGAGGAGCAGGAUCCAGGUACAGCGGAGCGCUUCCGGUCUGGCAGCCUGGGCGAGCAGAUCCAUUUUUGUCAUGAUGUUGACUUGCGGAAUUUCUAGAGAGAUCAUGGCACUCAGGGCUGCCAAGAUGCCAGAAAUAAACUGAAGGAGGAAACAGAAAAGGGAAGAUGAACUGACUGUUGCCAACAGUUACCUGGUCUGCAUAAAGAGUCUUCUAUUCCUCACUGGAACAGAACUGGCCUAAAUAAAAGAAAUGCAAGCUGGACGUGGUGGCUCAUGCCU